AUGGACGGCGAGCUCGGCUACGUCUACGGCGAGGAGGAGCAGGAGGAGGAGGAGGAGCCGGCGACUGUUCCGGCGAGGAGGAGCAAGAAGAAGAAGCGGGCGGCCAGCACGAACCAGAGCAUCGAGACGUACUGGGAGCGGAUCAAGGCCGAGUUCGACGAGCGGAAACUCGUCGACCCCUACUUUAAAGGCGUCUACAUGCAGCGCGGGGCGAAGGGCAACAACGACGCCGAAUUCAAGUACCUCCAUGUUUACAAGCGCAUUGACAAAUGCGAUAAGUGGGUGGAAGUCUGGCGCACCCUCGACAAGGCCAAGGAGACCUACAAGCCGGACGCGCCGACUCCAGGCGCGUCAGAAGAGCGGCCGGACGGCAACAAAUCUGCCAAGAAGGGGAAACACGCCGACGCGGCCACCGCUCGAGUGCAGGAGUCCAUCGAGCACUGCAUCACCGACGCACAGGCCCGGGCCGCCCUUCGUGAAGAGAAGACCGAGGCGCGGUGGUCGGCGUUGAUGUCGAGCAGCGCCGUCAAGCUCGACCUACUCCGGACCAACGUUGUCGUGAAGAAGAGAAACACCGACCUGGCUUUCUGCUGGGGCAUGUGGCGGUAUCUGUAA
rnacentral:rRNA from 1 species